CCCUGAGAUACUGGACCAUUCCAAAAAUCUCAGAUGCAGGGGUAUCCCCUUUCCUGCCACGGCCAGAAAGGCUGAACUAUAUAGGCUCAUGACCACUCAGGCCAACGUUCCCAGGCCAGAUGGUAGUUCACAAAUCCUGCCAGCUCACACUUCGUAUUCCACACGAGACACCCUGGCUGCUAUACUCACCAACCUACAAAUUAUCAAUCACAGACUAGCGAAACUGGAAUCCGCUAUAGCCACACCAGGUGCCUUGUUGGGCUCAGCAAACCUUCCCCUGACGGUCUCAGCCAUACCCACUUCAUAUGUUUCCCCGGCUCACCCUGUCCCUGAUUUCAUCAGAAAGGGCAUUUCCAAGGGUAAUGACGUUAACUCUACGUCCCUACUGCUGACCUCCCAAACUACGCACACUAGCACGUCCGUCACUUUCACGGCUCACCACCCUCCCACCCCACACACUAGUCAGGGUGCCGGUCGGUGUGACACGCUGGACAGUCCCAUUACAUUUCUGGGCAAGGCUCGGGUGUGCAGUGACUUUAACGCCAGGGUAUGUAAUCUCACGACAUGCAGGGCACUGCACAUCUGCUCAUAUGCUUCAGAACCCACACCAAGUCCACUUGCCCAGCCCUUCUCUCACCUAAGAAACGCCUGACCGAAGUUAACUUUGACAUCCUGGAAUACUAUCUCCAGUCACAUCCAGCUAGGCACCUGGUAGAUUAUAUGGUGACGGGUUUUUCACAGGGGUUUCACACGGGUCUUAUCGCCAUCCCCACAGGUACACUUGAAUGCCCUAACCUUUUAUCCGCUUCCACUGACCCACUCACGGUGGACCACCUUCUGUCUACAGAAAUCACAGCCGGCUUUAUGAUCGGCCCGUUUCUGUCUUCACCUUUCUCAUCUUGGCAUACCAAUCCCAUCGGUAUAGUCAUUCACAAAUACUCCAACAAAAAACGUUUAAUUAUUGAUCUCUCUGCACCUCACUCUUCCUUUACUCCUAGUAUCAACUCCCUCAUUCCCGCCAAGGAGUUCUCACUGCAAUACGCUAAAAUUGAUGAUGCCAUGGAGGCCAUCUUAUUAGCGGGUAGUGGGGCUUGGUUGAGCAAAACAGAUAUAACAAACGCCUUCAAACUACUACCGCAGGGCAGAUUUUGUGUCUCCAGGCUUCUCAACUUGCUCCACGAUGUGCCCGCCUCAUGCCCAAUCAU